GUUCCUUGGUUACCAGGGAUUACAUAUACAAAUGUUGUAGAUACAAAAGUUACAUAUGUUAAAUUGAUAGUUGGAGAUUUUUUUUAAAUCAUUGAAUCAUUUUGUUUGGGUAACACACUCCUGGAUUAUUUUCUUCCCUGAAUAUCUUAGUGGUCUAACUUUAUUCAUUUGUUAAAAUGCUUACGUGACCUACAAAAGGGUCUUGGCUUUAAUAGUCAACAUGUUGACAGAACUCAUGAAAAAUGGACUGAUUUAACUCUGAAGACUUGAAAUUUGCCUUGCUUCAAGUACAUCAAAAUAUCCUUCUUUCACAAUAUGUCUCAGAAUGGAAUACUGUGCAAGAGUUCAAACCAAAGAACUACAAUGAUGAAGAACAUGAAUGUAUCUCACAAUUAUAAAGCUGAAUGAAAGAAACAAGACACACAAAAAUAUCUAUUUCAUUAUUAUAUGAAGCUCAAAUACAGGUAAAAUUAAUCUGGGGUGU